rnacentral:rRNA from 1 species
CCUACGGGUGGCAGCAGUCGAGAAUCAUUCACAAUGGGGGAAACCCUGAUGGUGCGACGCCGCGUGGGGGAAUAAAGGUCUUCGGAUGGUAAACUCCUGUCUUGUGGGCGAAAAUUGAAAAGAUAGUACCGCAAGAGGAAGCGACGGCUAACUCUGUGCCAGCAGCCGCGGUAAUAAAGAGGUCUCAAGCGUUGUGGGGAAUCACUGGGCGUAAAGCGUUCGUAGGCGGUUUCGUAAGUCGUGUGUGAAAGGCGCGGGCUCAACCCGCGGACGGCAUAUGAUACUGGGAGACUAGAGUAAUGGAGGGGGAAUCGGAAUUCUCGGUGUAGCAGUGAAAUGCGUAGAUAUCGAGAGGAACACUAGUGGCGAAGGCGGGUUCCUGGACAGUAACUGACGCUGAGGCACGAAGGCCAGGGGAGCGAAAGGGAUUAGAUACCCCUGUAGUC